CAAAAGAUACUAACACAUGUACGAUGAAAAGUCGAUUUAAUAGACAUGAUUAAUUUGACGUAUUUUGACAUCGACACCUGAUAAUUACUCGAUUUAAAUAAAAGGUACAAUAAUUAAACGAAAAGUGAUAGAAAAGAACAUGAAAAUGGUUAAAUUAUUGUGUAUAUAUAUAACAAGAACUACAAUUUAUAAGCUCAUUUAUUCAUUUUAUUUUUUCAAAUUAAAACCUUGGUAUUUUAAUAAUAUUAUACAUAUAUACACCAUCCUCAUCUUAACAACCUCCACCUCCACCUCCGUCGCCGCUAUCAACACCAGCUCCAGGUUGACCCUUGCGGCGACGACGACCCCCACAUAGGUUACAAAGCAUGACGACAGAUUAAAGCAACGAAAGAAGCAAGUAUUAUGCGGUUCUCAAAUAGAAAUAUAUUACUGUGGGAUUCAGGCAAUGGUUCUUUAUACUUAUUUAUACACAGUGGCAAUUGUCAAAAUAUGUCAAAGUCAAAAUUAGCGGGGAAAGACGGUACGGUACGGCACGGUAUUAAAAUUAAUUAAAAUAAAUUUCAAUUGCAAAAAAGAACACGAGAGGAAUUAAGAUUAGAAGAAUCUUAAGUUGCUGUGAAGCAACCUCCAAACAACUUAAAAAAUAAUAAGAAAUUAGCUGCUCAUGCUAACUAAUAAAAGAUUAGAAAUUUAAUUAACUUCAAAUUAAUAUAUACAACUUGUUGCGGUUGAUCACCGUGCUCCACCACGAUCGGAACGCAUCGCGAUCAAGAUGAACUGGAACCGCGAUCACGAUCGAAAUCAUUGGUUCUCUAUCACGAUCCCGGAACCACGAUCAAAAUCCAUCGUGAAACUGGAACUACAAUCAAAAUCCAUCACGGAAUUAGAACCCAUGGCGAUGGGUUUUCCGUCCGAGUCGGAACUGCUACAGGGAUCGCAAUGGGUUCCGGACGGAUGGCUGGAAAUCGGGCAGAAGGGACGGUGGGAUGAUGGUCCUUAGUCAUCCGGGUGGCCGAACCGCAUGAAAAACACGUCCUUAAUAUGUAAUCCGGAAGAUUUACUUGUAACUAAUUAACAACUAACAGUUUCGUAAAAAUUGAUGAAAUGGAAGAUUUACUUGGAUCCUUUAACAAAAUUCAAAGCCAUCAACCCUGCUGCGAAAGCCACAACAGACACUGCCAGAACCAUUAUCACCAUGAAUGCCAUUACGCGAGCUCCGCCUCCGUCCCCGGCCACUGAUAAUCUCAAGAGGAGUUCGCCGGGAAUUCGUGGACGGAAGUAAUUUAUGAAUAACAAUUUUAAAAAUAAAAGAGAUUUAACUGAUGCAAUUGGUGAACGAAAUGGAGAUAUGGGACUAAGGGAGUGAGAUUUAAAUAGACGUUUCAGGUGCGUUUGUACUUUGAAUGUGAUGUCGUGUGUCAUCAUGUUCAUUAAUAUUUAAUCUAAUGGUUAAAAUAAUGUAAAGUACAAGACACUAAUACAUAUACGAUGUAAAAUAAUGUAUUCCAAAAGAUACUAACAAAUGUACGACGAAAAGUUAAUCUAAUGGACAUGAUUGAUUUGACGUAUUUUGAACUCGGCACACCUGAUAAUUACUCGAUUUAAAUAAGACGUACAAUAGUUAAACGAAAAGUCAUAGAAAAGAACAAAAUAAUGGUUAAAUUAUUGUGUGUCAGUGUAUAUAUAUACACCUAGUUUCCAGAACGGCACGUCCGCACAGUGAUCACCGUGCGGUACGUGCAUCCGAUGCCAAUCAGACGGUCCCGACCAUAGUACAGUGUCGUCCACCAUGGUUGGACUACUGCCGUCUAGAUCUGGUGCAGUACCGUCCAAUCGACAUCAGAUAGUCAGAUCUGGUAUUCGCAUGAACGGACGUGUCGUUCUGAAAACGGAUCUUAUAUAUAGGGUCAGCUUCUAGUGAGAACUAUAUGAGAACUUUGCAUCUUGACCCUUACUGAUCGUGUGGUAUAAGAUAUAUACUGACCGUAUAGUUUAGUAUAAGGUAUUACAAACAACAACUUUUCUCCCCCCUCUACAUUUCACCCCUAGGGGUAUUUAUACAGUUUCCUACCGGUUCCCGGACCUUGCAUUCUCGGACUAAGAUCUGACCCGACGGACCCGACAAGGUUGGGAUGCAACCAUUGGGGAAAUAACCGUCCGGCCCGGUCGACCCGUCCGGGCUAAAACCCGUCGGGCGGCCUGGGUCUUACUCUUGUUUACUGGGCCUCGAUUCUGGAUUCUUGCAUGGGUCUGGGCUGAUGGACUAGGGGUACCAUCAGUACUCCCCCCUCCUUCCUACCCUAUAAAAGGGCUUCUUUUCUUCUUUUGACUCAUUUCUUCACAUUCAUCAUGUCUUCUCUUGAGCAUCUGCUGGAAGAGCUGAGGCGCGAGUUGGUGCAUCAGCAAGCUGCUUGGCCUGAGAAUUUUCUUCACCAUGUUGACGACGCUCGUGAAAUUGCUGCAGGUAAUCAUCGCCUUAAUCAUCUGGUUUCGGAGGUCCAGCACCGCGUUCGUGCUCUCUGGCGAGUUUCUAACGGGACCGGUAUUGUUAUUCCGACAACUGCAAUCGCUUAAGGUAGUCUUUUCUCUGCGCCCGGUGCUCCAUUUGAACUUCCUGUAACUGCUGCCGCCCCCGAUGGAGUUCCUGUAACUGCUUCCGCCCCCGAUGGGGUUCCUGUAACCGCCGCUCAUGAGCUUUCUUCUACUGGGCGCUCUGCUGCCCCUGCCGUUCGCCGUCGUCGGGGAUGCAGACAACGUGAUGGUCGUGCGCUCUCUGACCUCCCCCCGAACGAUCUACGUCAUUUCCUCUCUCGCGGGCCGACCUGAUGAGUGUCAUAAAUGUCCCCCUCAUGGGGGUCUAUUUGUAGUGGCUUUUCUUAAUAUGUAUUUGAAUAUUUCUGUCUCCCUGUAGCUUUCCUUACGACUUCAUCUGCGAAUGAGCUAGCGUGUUUUCUUUUGUCCUUACGCAUUGAUACUAUACCACUUUACUUUGAACUUUGUUUACGAUACCGUUUCAGUGAUGUAAUUUUUUAAUCCUUUGUUAUAAAAAACAUUUUACUUUUUUCCCUUGGGUUUUUUUUGCUUAAUCUUUUAUUCCCGGGCGUAACUGCUUGUUGAUCAGGGGUCCGACAAUUCCCUUCGAAUUUCAACUUACCGUCUGUCAUUUCUUACGGGUAUUACGGCCGUUCGGCUCUUGUCGCUUGUUUUCCAUACGGGCUACUUGACCAGCAGGUAUAACUUCUACUCCUUUAGGACUUCGUAGCUUUUAUUCAUUUCUAUCUUAUUCUAUUCAGGCUUUUGCCUUACGGUUUCUUUGUUCUGCCUCCCUCGAGCACUCAGGUUGUAUACGAUUCAUGGACUGGACUGUCCCGAUUUUUCCGCACGGACUUACUAGUCUUGGAACAUGUUGCCUUUCUACCCUUGCUGCCCUCUCUCCUUACGAGCUGUUCGAUCAUCAGGUAUAACUUUCACUAGGACCUCUUUCAUUUCUAUGGCUGAUUCUGUUAAGGUGCUUGCCUCACGAUUUGUUCUACCUUCUUUGAGUAUCCGGGGUGAAUAUGACUCGUGGACUGGAAUGCCCUUGCCCUGUCGUACGUGUUGGAUCGAGAUCCGAGACUAUAAGGGGGGAUAAUAGCCUCUUUUCGAUUAAUGCAAGUUAAUAGCGGAAUUACCUGCACACACUUAAGUACACAAAUGGUUGUAUAAUAAUAAUAGUAUAAUAUUGUUAGCAAUAUAAUACUAUUAUAUAAUUUUAAAGAAUAUAAUAUUAUAUAUUGGACUUGCCUUUUGCUCUUUAAGUUUACUACAGUAUAUGAAUACGUAAUCAACUUUUCAGAUGGUGUUUUAUAAACAACUAUAGUAUAUGAAUACUAAGUUAUAUUAUAAACACAAGUUAUAUUAUAGAGUAAAUGACCAGAUAACUGGAUAUAUGAUAAGCAAGUAAAUGACCAGAUAACUGGAUAUAUUGAUAAACAAGUAGAUGACCAGAUAACUGGAUAUAUAUAUGAUAAGUAAAUGCUUGAACAAAUAUGAAUAAAGCAAUGAAUAUAACCUCAGAUGGUUGACCAGAUAACUGGAUGAGGGAUCUGCGUAAAGUAGUCAACCUCUGUAUUUGACCAGAUAACUGGAAGAGGGAUCUUUUUAAUUAAGUGUUGUUUUUAGAUAAAAGAUAAAACUAUAAUUAACAUAGAACAACACAAGAGAUUUAUACUGGUUCACCCAAACAAGGGCUAGUCCAGUCCCGACCAACUGCCGGAAUUCACUCGCCUAAAGGUAAUGGCAAAACCUUUCUAAGCUUUAAGGCUACUUCGCUUAGGAACCAGUCUUUUACGGGUAGACUCACACCUUAGAGUAUCAAGGGCACUCUUAAGAACCUCUAACUUUUACGGGUAAGUUAGUACCUUAGAGUAUCAAGGAACUCUUAAAAACCUCUUAAAUCUUUAAAGGUAGACUCGACCUAAGAGUUUUCCCGGAAACUCUAUAAAACCAAACUAGAGCCUUAUGGUUGAGCUCACAAACCUUCUCUCACACUUUGGUACUAUUGAGACAACCCUCUCAACCAAAGUGGACAUACACAAGAGGUGAUUAGAGGAGUGGAAUAUUAAAGCAAAUAACAUUUCUUACUUGUAAAGAUGAACAAGAAGAUUAGAAGUAGAAGUUGGAGAGCUUUUGAAGCUUUGGAAAGCUAGGACACUUCAGCACUUGAAAGCUUGGAAGCUUGNNNNNNNNNNNNNNNNNNNNNNNNNNNNNNNNNNNNNNNNNNNNNNNNNNNNNNNNNNNNNNNNNNNNNNNNNNNNNNNNNNNNNNNNNNNNNNNNNNNNNNNNNNNNNNNNNNNNNNNNNNNUCUUCAAUGGAUGGCUCCUUGAUUUUUCACAAAAAUCCAAGCUUUGUCUUUGAUCUUAUCUUGAAUUCUUGGAUAGUGUGUUGGUCUUAUCUCUUUGGAUAGUGUGUUGUCCUUGAAGAAUCUUAUCUUUGAAUAAUUCAACCAUGAAUAGUAUUUUGUCCCCUUGGAAUAUUAUACCUUGAAUAAAGUGUCAAAAGAUAAUAAUAAUAAUAUUCAUGGUAAACAUGUAAUUAUUCCAAAUAAUAAUAUUCAAGGUGAAAAUGCAAUUCUCCCGAUUUGACUUUUUAACUUUGACUUAAACCCUUAACUCAAAUGAUUAAUUAAUUAACUGGAGUUAGGUUUAACAUCGAUUGACUUAUUUAACCCCUUUUGAUUAAUAGUGUAAUUAGGGUUUAAAUUGACAUGAUUAAAAUAUAAUCCUAUAUCGACAAUUUUGAUUCUACAUUCUCCCCCUUUGUCGAUGGCAUAUAUGUUUUAACUCAUGUCUAGUCAAUAUUCUAUUUUAUCCUUAUGAGCAUGCUCCCCCUGAAUUAUUGACCCAUAAUAUUCAAUUUAAAAGCAGUGGAUCAUGCAUGAUUUCUCCCCCUUAAAACAAUAAGGUAUCGACAAAGUUAACAAUAGAUACCUAUGAAGUAUCUCCCCCUUAAUGAUAGGACAUAUCUAAUUUGUGGAGAAAAUAAAAUUUCAUACCUCAUUGAGCUUUAAUCACAAAUUUGAUUUGUGUGGUUGACCAAAUGUGACGUCUUGCUUAUAAGAGUGUUAGUCAAUCAUAAAGGAGAAAUAACAUGUAAUUUAUGCUCAUUGAUUUAAUGAUUUAAGGAUAAAUUAAUUAAUUUAAUAUUUUUUAAACAAACAAACAAUUAAUUAAUUAAUCAUUUCAUGGAAAAUUAAUGAUUAUUAUUUCAAUUUAAAAUCAUUCAAUUUAAUAAUUAAUCAUUAUGAUUUCUAUAAUUUCAUGCAAAUUCUAUUCAUUAACAUUUCAAUUUAAUAAUUACUAAUUAUUUUAAAAAAUAAUAAUUUCAUGCAAAUUAUUAAUUAUUAUUUCAAUUUAAUAAUUAUUAUUAACAAAUAAUUAGCAAAUUAAUAAUUUUUACUUCAAUUUAAAAUCAUUCAAUUUCAUAAUUAUUCAUUAACAUUUCUAUAAUUUCAUGCAAAUUAAUUAAUCAUUAUUAAUUCAAUUUAAAAUCAUUCAAUUUAAUUAUUAUUAAUUAAUUAAUAAUUUUAUGCAAAUUAAUAAUUAUUGAUAAAAUUUAAAAUGAUUCAAUUUCAUAAUUAUUAAUUAAAAAUUUAAUAAUUUCAUGCAAAUUAAUUAUUAUUGAUAGAAUUUAAAAUCAUUCAAUUUAAUAAUUACUAAUUAACAAAUUUAUAUUUAUAUGCAUGCAAAUUAAUUAAAUAUUUUUAUAACAAAAUGAUUAAAUAAACAUUUAUAAUUUCAUACCGCAAUAGAGCUUAAUUCAAUCUGAAUUUCUGGAUUCUUGNNNNNNNNNNNNNNNNNNNNNNNNNNNNNNNNNNNNNNNNNNNNNNNNNNNNNNNNNNNNNNNNNNNNNNNNNNNNNNNNNNNNNNNNNNNNNNNNNNNNAACAACACAAUAAUUUAAUUAGUUAAUUAAUUAAAGCAUUAUAGAAAUUAUUUAUUUAAUCAAAUCAAUUUAUAAAUUAUUUAAAAAUAAUCAAUUAAAUAAUUAAUUAAAACAUUUAUAAACAGUAAAUUAAAUAAUUCAUAAAUAACAAAUAAUUAAUUAAAUAAUCAUUCAUUUUUAAACAAAUAAUAAUUUUAUUAAUAUUUAUUACAUAAGAAUUAUUUUAUAAUUUAAUGCAAAAUUUUCAUUAUUUAAAACAAUAUGUUAAUUACUUAUAUAAUUAAUUAAAACUUCGUUUUAAUUAUUUUUAAAAAGUAAAUAAAAUAUUUUUUAAAUUAAUUAAAACAAAAUAAAAUAAUAUUUCAAGCAAAUUAAAUAAUAUUUCAUUUUCAUUAAAACAAAAUUAUUUCUUUCAAAUAAUUCAUUAAUAAUUGAUUUCAUGCAUAUUUAUUUCAUGUAAAUUAUUAGUUUCAUGUAAACUUAAUAAUUUAAAUUAAAUAAUUUAAAUAUAUAUGAUUCAAAAUUUAUUUUUAACAUUAUAAUUUANNNNNNNNNNNNNNNNNNNNNNNNNNNNNNNNNNNNNNNNNNNNNNNNNNNNNNNNNNNNNNNNNNNNNNNNNNNNNNNNNNNNNNNNNNNNNNNNNNNNNNNNNNNNNNNNNNNNNNNNNNNNNNNNNNNNNNNNNNNNNNNNNNNNNNNNNNNNNNNNNNNNNNNNNNNNNNNNNNNNNNNNNNNNNNNNNNNNNNNNNNNNNNNNNNNNNNNNNNNNNNUUACAACAUAAAACAAUCAUAAAACAAGAAAUCAAUAACAAGAAAUCAAUUACAAAAAAAAUCAAUAAAACAAUCAAAAUAACAUAAUGAAAACAACAUAAUCACAACAUAAUCAAAACAAUUUCGAUUUCUUGUUUCUUGUUAAUAUAUUUGACCUAACAUUAUGAACAAAUUAACACACUAAUUUUAAAAAAAACGAACAUGCUCUGCUUGUGUAAGUGAAUCUACUACCGAUCCUAAUUUAGUAAAAUAAACACAGAUUUGGCACUUCAUUCUUUUGCCGAUCCAACUCCUAGUAAAUGAAAGAUCUAAUAAUAUCUAUCUACCUAAGAAUUUACACUAUCUUUGAAGGAAAUGCAACCAUUGAACAUGUAGGAAAUAUUACCGAGGUGUGUGGAAGUGGAGNNNNNNNNNNNNNNNNNNNNNNNNNNNNNNNNNNNNNNNNNNNNNNNNNNNNNNNNNNNNNNNNNNNNNNNNNNNNNNNNNNNNNNNNNNNNNNNNNNNNACGACGAUUCGGCAGGAGUAGGGGACGACGAUUCGGCGGCAGGAGCGACUCUGUCGAUUUGAAGAACAAGAAGCCGACUCUGUCGAUUUGGGGUUUUUAUUAAACCCCAAAACUUACAUGGCGGAUUUCCGCCAUGUAAGUACACUUAAGUGCCGCCAGCACUAAAGUGAAAGUCCGCCCAAUCGAAAUUUGGGCGGGCUUUUUCCGCCCGACUCCCCGAAUACUUAACAUGGCGGAUGUCCGCCAUGUUAAGUCAAUUUAAUCGGGUAAUCGGGUUGAAUAUUGGGGGAGAUUCGAAAUUUUGGGCGGGAUAGUUUAGAUGGCGGAAAUCCGCCAUCUAAACACCGCCAUCGAAAAUACAAUUGAACCGCCGUCUAGCCAAAACCUUUCCUCGGCGGACUAAAAGAAUAGAUGGCGGACAUCCGCCAUCAAAACAACUGAAGUAUUGAUGGCGGAAAUCCGCCAUCUAAAGGCCGCCAUACAAGGUCCUUUUUUUUGUAGUGGAGCUUUAAUCACAAAUUCGAUUUGUGUGGUUGACCAAAUGUGACGUCUUGCUUAUAAGAGUGUUAGUCAAUCAUAAAGGAAAAAUAACAUGUAAUUUAUGCUCAUUGAUAAAAUAUUGGAUUGAAGCCAAUUUUGAUAUACAUUAUAAGGCAAGUGUGAUAUGAUAAUUUAGAUUGCCUUGUGCUAAGAUAAUGCAAUGAAUAAUAAUCCAUGUGUGUGUUAUGGAUGAAGAUGAUCUUAACAUGUAUGGAUUAAAGAUUUUAUAAUGUUAUAAUCCAUAGGAUAUUAGUGAAUGAUAUGUAUAAAUCCAUAAUAUUCACUAAUUGCUUUAAGGAGAAAUUGAGCAUUUAAAAUUUUAAAAUCUAUGUCUUAGUGACAAAUAUAAUCAUGUAAAUAUUUACUAAGUUUUAAAAGAUUUAAAAUUUUCAUUUUAGUCCUUAAAGCCUUAGUAGUAAAACUUCACUUAAAAUAAAAUUUCAUUUAAGCCCUUUGAAGUUAUAAUCGAUACUUAGAUUAAUACUUGAAAUAUUUCAUUUAAACCUUGGAAGUAUUAACUAAUUCUAAGCACUUUUCAAUUUGAAAACUUCAUGUAAAUAUUAAUUUUAAGUUCCUGAAGUUUUAACUAAAUAUUUAUUCACUGUAAUGAUAUCCUUUUAAUGAAUAACUUCAUAGAUAAUUUAAUCCCUUUAAAGUUAUAAUGAAUACUUAGAUUAAUACUUAAAAAAUAUCAUUUUAAACCUUGGAAGUAUUAAAUAUUUCUAAGUAAUUUUUCUGAUUAAAACUUCAUGUAAAUAUUGAUUAUAAGUCCCUGAAGUUUUAACUAGAUUUAUAUUCACUAAUAUAAUUUUGAUCCUUAAGUUUUUAGUGAAUCCAUUAAAACUUAAAAACUUCAUAAACGAUUUUCGUUGAAGUCCCUGAAGUUUCAUAAAACUUUAUAUUCACUGGAAAAUAUAACUUUAAUCCUUAAGCUUUCAGUGAAUUAUUUUAAACUUAGAAACUUCAAACAUAAUUUAUGUUUAAGCCCUUGAAGUUUCAUAAAAUUCUAUAUUUACUGAAAAAUAUACCUUUAAUCCUUAAGUUUUCAGUAAAUCUUUUUAAACUUCAAAAAUAUUUUAUGUUUAAUCCCUUGAAGUUUUAAAGUUCAUGACUUUGAAAAGUCAAUUAAUACUUCAAAAGAAUUUUAAUUAUACCCUGAAGUAUUAACUAAUGUCCAUGCAGCCCUCAAGUUUUUGAUAUUGCUAAUAUUAUGUUUUUCUUUAUGCAUGCAUACCCUUAUGUUGAUAAGCUUAGAUGAUUAAAAUCAUAGAACUUCCAUUUCAACAAAAGAGGUGAUACAUGACCAGAUUAAUCUCAUAUUCAAUGAGACUACGAUCCAUGAAUGGAUCUCCAAAAUAACAGAAAAACAGACACAAGAUUAAGUACUUAAAACAUCAAAAUACUUCUUAGGGCAGAUGUAGUUCAGUCAUGGUGGUGCAUGGUUGGAAUGACCUUGGAGCUAAACUCAUGAAAUAGGUUAGCCAGCUCGAGGUUGUACUCUCUUUCAUCAUCUAGCUGUUGCCUUGUUAUAGACACCAUCUCUUCCAGAUCUCCCAUUCCUUUUUCCAGCAUCCUUACUUGAUGUCUAACUCUUAUGACUUCCUCAUUCAAAAACACAUUAGUGUUUGGUGAGUUUGGAUCAUAAGUGUUUCUCCAAGUCUUUUGGAAUGAGCUUGCAGUGAAUGGUUGAAUGUGAGAUAUGAUUGGAUGUGGAUAGAGUGGAAUUCCAAAGUACCCUGGACUAAGGAGUUUUGAAAGCAUCCUUGGGUAGUAGCGAGCUCCAGUGUUCUUGGUUGAUGUAGCCAGAUUGUGCAUGAUCAGUGAUACCCAGUUCACUCUAAUCUUUGACAGCAAGCAGUAAAUUGCUACCAAGAUCAACGUUGAUGGUUCUUCUCUAUCUUCAACUUGAGGAUAAAUAUUGUAUGAGAUGAUCUUCAAAAAGAUUGAGGCUUCUGGUAUGAGCAUUGUCUUUAGAAUCUUAUCAGUGCUCUUAGGGUUAUACCUGUGGGUGAGAGUAUUCCAGAGAAUCUCCCAGCUGCACUUAAAAGGUAGCUCAUCCAGACUUCUGUAGUUUUGAAGCUUCACUCCGUUGUUAGGUAGAUUUAUCCAUAUUCCAAGUUUAUCAGCUCCUAAAAUGAGAGAUAUUCCAUUUACCUUGGUGGUGAUGACUUGAGAACCUACUGUCUCAUACUUGAGAUUUGCAUAGAACUGAGCCAACUCAGAUUUGUAGAUUCUGAGCUGCCCUAUGUUCUCAAGGUAGUCAGUAAGCCUGUUGAAGUUUAGUAGUCCUUCAAUCACCUUGCAGUUGAGAGAUCUGAGUAGAACAGGUUCCUCAAAGAUCAUUCUUUGCUCGAGAAUGAGAUCAUAGGAAAACUUGGCUAUUGGAGAGAUCCAUGUUGGUGUUCCUUGGAAUAUUUCUGAUACUGGAAUCUUCCUGGUGCGUUUCUUCCGGAUGACAUUGCUGCUUGAGGGAUUAGGGUUGUAUACCGGACUGGAAGGACAGUCUGGUAUGAUUGUGAGUUCCUUCUUCUCAGGAUUGAUUUCUUGAAUCAACAUCCUUGGGACAGAAUGAAUCUUAAGAUGGAAGAAGAUGAUACGAUUGUUUCUCUUCCUAUGCUUAUAUAGUAAAUUGAUUCACCUCAAGCUUAUCAAAUGAUCUGUCCAGAUUCUUUAUGUACUGACAUUACUUGUGGAGUUACAAGUAAUGAAGACAUCUUUAAGUCAUGUCUAACUUUGGAAGGUUAGCAGCUUUUAGGGUUUGUUUUUCAAUAAACCCUACUUGGUGGAUAUGAACAAACAUAUCCUAAUUAGAUUUUUAGACAGAAGUUGUCUUUUCAGAUGUUUGGAAGAUCUGAUUUUAGAUAUGUUUUAUAUAUAUAAUUUAUUUAAACACAUACCUUUUGUACUAAACGACGCAUUCCUGAUUUUGCUUUAUCUUAACUCUUGCAGAUGAUGUUUGAUGUAUGUAGAGCAGGUGCAAGAUUUGCUUUUGCCCGAGCUACUUGCAGGAUGUUGUCGUUGCUGUUCAACUCAUAUAUCAGAUAUGGAGGUUGUAGGGUGAGUGACUGAUUGACCUUGUUGUGAUGUGUUGAGUAUGGUGGCUGAAUCUUCAAUACCGAGGUUGCUAGAGUGUGCAGGCAUGAGUUUGGAAGUUCUUUCACCAAAGUCGAGAAUGUUUGGAUUUUCAAGAUCAAGAAGAUUUGUCAUACUGAGUUUUGACAAUUGGCAUGUUUGCCUGUCCCACCUGUUCUUAGGAUAGAUAUAUAGAUUUGUGUACUCAUGUGAAUUUCGUAGUGACAUUGCAUGAGUCAACAAUUUUUGAGUGUUCAUCUUGUAUGCAUGAGUUGUUUUGAAAUCUUUAUGCAUGUAUUGCACAUCUUUAUUUUGCUUUGCAUGCAUAUUAUAUGUAUUAAUCAAAAGAUCAUAAGCAUACAGGUGGUUUGUAAAACAGACAUGCAUAGGAUCAGUUUCAUGAAUUGAUUAUGAAUGAACUGGCUUAGUAAGGAAAUAUUCAUGUUUAUGAUAUAUUUCUUUAACUAGUAUUAAAACGAUGGCAUUAUUCACAGAUAAUCAACUGUUUGAUAGGUGAUUGUAUGAACGCAUGAUGAGUGCAUAUGAUAUGUAUAAUGAAAGCACAAUUACAUAGUAUAUAACUAAUUGUUUCAGAUGAUUAUGUAGUUAAAUAUUUCAUAGAAGAUUUUAUAAAUCAAGCAUUUAUCAGAUCAUAUAUUUUAUAGAAGCAUAUAAAUCAAUGAGUAGGCAUGUAUUAAUGUGAUUGAUAUGAUAGACAUGCAUUUAGAUCUUACUAUAUCUAUUGAGUUAUGUGCGUGUAGGGCUUUAGUAUGUGAAUGAUAAAAGCAUGUAUGUUUAUUUAGAUCAUGUUAAGUUCAUAUGCAUAUAGAUCUACUUAGGCUUUAUUUGAGAUACAAAGCAAUCUAGGACAUAGUUGCCUUGUAUAGAUGAUUUUGUUUGUAUGCUAAUGUGUUGAUCUCCAAUGAUUUGUUCUGAGUUUCUGAGAUUCCUAUUUGAUGGAAGUUCAGAGAUGAUUGUUUCAUGAUCAUCUCUUUCUAAGGGAGUGUCAGAUGGUAUUUGUUGAAUGACUUUAAUUCCUCCUUCUUCUGUGUUUGGAAUAGAGAUAGACCCAUCAAAGUCAACGUGUAGGGAUUCUAUCAAUGUUUGUCUUUCUUUGAGAAGGACUCUAUAUGCCUUGCUCCUUUUUGAGUAUCCAACUAGGAUUCCUUCAUCAGAUUUUUGUGCUAAUUUAUCUUGGUUUCCCCUUGUUGUGAGAACAUAGCACUUACUCCCAAAUACUUUAAAGAAUGAAACUUUGGGUUUUCUGUUAUUCCAAAGUUCAUAGGGAGUUUUGUUUAAGGUCUUUCUAAUGAUUACCUUAUUAAGAGUGUAACAAGCAGUGCUUAUAGCUUCUGCCCAUAGAUAUUGAGGGGAGUCAUGUUCUUGUAACAUAGACUUACUCAUUCCUUGAAGAGUACGAUUUUUUCUUUCUACUAUUCCAUUUUGAGGUGGAGCUUGAGAAACAUCAAAUUCAUGCUUUAUCCUAUUGGAUAUACAGUACUCUUCAAAGUCAGAGUUUUCAAAUUCUUCUCCAUGAUCACUUCUGAUUUUUAUGAUAGAUGAACCUUUUUCAUUCUGUACUAGGGUACAAAAUUUAGAAAAUUCACCAAAGGUUUCACUUUUGUUUCUUAGAAAGAAUACCCAUGUAUAGUGAGAGUAAUCAUCAAUGAUUACAUAGGUGAAUCUUUUUCCUCCAAGACUUUGGGUUUGGGUUGGCCCAAAUAGGUCCAUGUGAAGAAGCUCUAAGGGUCUAGAAGUGGUUAUUUUUGUGAGGGAUUUAAGUGAGCUUUUGUGUUGUUUUCCUCUUUGACAAGCAUCACAGAUAUUACCUUUUUCAUAAGCUAUUUUAGGCAACCCGGUUACUAAUUCUUCUUUAGAUAAUCUAGAUAGCUUUGAGUAGCUGGUGUGACCUAGUCGUCUAUGCCACAGAACUUUCUCAUCACUUGCAGCAAGCAUGCAGAAGUCAUGAGUUGGUUUAGAUUUAUCAAAGUUUAUAGAAUAAGCAUUGCUUUUUCUAUAUCCUCUGGCAGUGAUAACUCCCUCAGAGUUAGUGAUAGAACAAUUGUAUUUUUCAAAUUUUACUACACAACCGAUAUCACAUAAUUGACUUAUGCUAAUCAGGUUGUGUUUUAGACCAUUUACUAAGUAUACAUUUCUUAAGAAUGGUUUUUCUGUAUUUCCUACAUUACCCCUACCUACUAUUGUACCUUCAUUGUUAUCGCCGAACUUAACCUUUUUAGUAGGCGGUAAGUCUAUCAAGUCGUUUAGUAGACUUGAUUCCCCGGUCAUGUGUCUUGUGCAUCCACUGUCGAACAUCCAUUUUGACACAUGCUUUUCCUGAAAAAGUUGAAAGAUCCUUUGGUACCCAUACUGAGUUGGGUCCUGAUGAAUUAACAUAUUUAAUCUGCUUAUAAUUUCGUAACUCAUCUUUAGUCAUCCAUCUUUGCUUUGGAUGAUUCACCUUAGAAUGAUUUUUCUUUUUCUUAAGAUGAAUGAACUUUGUAUUGCUAAAAUAAUUAUUAUGUAUUGAAGCAUGCAAAGGUUUUGUAUAACGAGAUUCCCUUACAAAAUGAUCAUUAUAAGUUGUGGCAUUUAGGGUUUUGUUAAUAGGUGCAUUUGACUCAAACCCUAAGCCAAAUUUCUUUUGACCCAAGUUCGAGCCUUGCAACAUAUUAUUUAACUUUGAUGAACUAUUGAAGAAUUUCUGAAGAACACUAUUUUUCUCAUUUAUUCUUUUAGUUUGUAAUUGCAUGCUAUUAUAUUUUUCAGAUAAUUUUUGUAAAGUUUCUUCAUGCUCAAGUAUGAGUUUAUCCUUAGAUUCUAUUUCAGUUUUAAGCAUGAUUGUUUCUUUUUCUUUAUUUCUAAUUGGUGAUACAGUAUCCCGAACACGUUUUAAUUCUAACAAUUCAACCCUAUCAUCAUUUAUUUCAUUGGGUUCUUUUUCUUCAUAUUCUAGAAUAUCAAGUAAUUCAAAAUUUUGACUCUUAAGUGUUUUAAUUUUUUUAUCUCCCUUUUCUAUUUUACUUAAGAGUUUAUGAUUUUCUUCUUUUAAUAACAUGCAUUCUUUUUGUGAUUCUUCUAAUUCUAUUGAAUGAUCAAUAUGUGAUUUAUUCAUGCAUUCUAGUCUUAAUGAUUUACUUAAUUUUUUGUCAGCUUUAUAUUUAUCCAUUAAUUCUAGAAAUGCUUCUUCUAAUGAAUUAAAUCUAGUAUUUGUAAAGUUUACCUCAGAGUCGUUCUCAUGAGCCAUGAGGCAGUCUUCUUGGUCUGACUCAGAAUCUGACCAGUGUACUUGAUGCGCUUUUUCUUUCUUUAGUAGAGGACAUUCAGGUCUGAUGUGUCCAGAUUUGUCGCACAAGUAGCAGAUGGGCUCUUUUGAGUCUUUGUGGUUUUUACUCACUUUUCUGUCGGAAUUCUGAUAGUCUAUCCUUGAAUUUCUCUUUUCUUUCCUUUUUAUGAGAUAUCUCUUUAAAUGAUUUGUGAGCAUUGCCAAGUCAUCAUCAGAUGAUUCAUUAUCGCUUUGACUUUUGAGAGCAAUGUCCUUUUUCUCCUCUUUUGCUCUAGAGAUAAAUCUUUCUUCUUCAUAGGCCAUCAGAUUUCCGCAAAGUUCUACCACUGUGAGUUUGUUCAGAUCAUGAGAUUCUUGGAUAGCAUUCCUCUUUGAGUAGUAUUUGUUUGGAAGGCUUCUUAGAAUCUUGCUCACUUGCUUUUUCUCAGUUACUGGAUCCCCUAGUCCAGCCAAAUCAUUGACUAUUUGUGAUAGUCGAAUGUUCAUUUCUGCGAUAGUCUCAUCUUCCCUCAUAGAGAAUCUUUCGAACCGAGAAGUGGCAUGUAGUAGCUUAUUUUCCUUGACAUGGGAGGUUCCUUCAUGUAAAUCCUCCAAAGCUUUCCAUACCUUGUGAGCUGUAUCCAAGCAUCGAAUUCUGUUGUACUCAGAUUCAUUGAGAGCGCCAUAUAGUGCAUUCAAUGCUCUUGAGUUGUUGUUUUCCUUGAGGAUAUCCAUUGCUCCCCAAGUCUCUUCUUUGCUUGUUGGAAUCUCAUAAUCUUCCAAUAUGAUUUUCCAGAUUCCAUUGUUGAUUGACUUUAAGUAUAACUUCAUCUUGUUCUUCCAGAAGUCAUACUUUACUCCAUCGAACCUGGGAGGUUUGUUCGAUGCAAGACCAGUACUGUUUUCACCAUUUGAAGCCAUAGUUGUUGUUGUAAGAUGUUAGUCUGACUUCAACGGAACAUGGCUCUGAUACCACUUGUUGGAUCGUGAUCCGAGGCUAUAAGGGGGGGUAAUAGCCUCUUUUCGAUUUAUAUAGGUUGAUUGCGGAAUUACCUGUAAAUGCUUGAACAAGUAAUGAUAUAAGGAUAUUAUGAUUUUGAUUGAUAUAAUGAUGUAAGUAUUACUCUCUGAAGCUUACUACAGUAUAUGAAUACUGAGUCAACUUGCUUGAUAGUGUUUCACACACAACUAUAGUAUAUGAAUACUAAGUUAUAUUGAAAACACAAAUUGUAAUGUAGAGUAAAUGACCAGAUAACUGGAUAUAUUAAUACGCAAGUAAAUGACCAGAUAACUGGAUAUAUUGAUAAACAAGUAAGUGACCAGAUAACUGGAUAAGUUGAUAAACAAGUAAGUGACCAGAUAACUGGAUAAAUAUGAUAAGUAAUACUUGAACAAAUAUAAAGAUUUAAAGCAAUGAAUAUAACCUCAGAUAGUUGACCAGAUAACUGGAUGAGGGAUCUGCGUAAAGUAGUCAACCUCUGUGUUUGACCAGAUAACUGGAAAAGGGAUCUUUUUAAUUAAGUGUUGUUUUUUAAAAAAAAUAGAACUAUAAUUAACAGAGAACAACACAAGAGAUUUAUACUGGUUCACCCAAACAAGGGCUAGUCCAGUCCCGACCAACUGCCGGAAUUCACUCGCCUAAAGGUAAUGGCAAAACCUUUCUAAGCUUUAAGGCUACUUCGCUUAGGAACCAGUCUUUUACGGGUAGACUCACACCUUAGAGUAUCAAGGGCACUCUUAAGAACCUCUAACUUUUACGGGUAAGUUAGUACCUUAGAGUAUCAAGGAACUCUUAAAAACCUCUCUAAGCUUUAAGGCUACUUCGCUUAGGAACCAGUCUUUUACGGGUAGACUCACACCUUAGAGUAUCAAGGGCACUCUUAAGAACCUUUAACUUUUACGGGUAAGUUAGUACCUUAGAGUAUCAAAGAACUCUUAAAAACCUCUGAAAUCUUUAAAGGUAGACUCAACCUAAGAGUUUUCCCGGAAACUCUAUAAAACCAAACUAGAGCUUUAUGGUUGAGCUCACAAACCUUCUCUAACACUUUGGUACUAUUGAGACAACCCUCUCAACCAAAGUGGACACACACAAGAGGUGAUUAGAGGAGUGGAAUAUUAAAGCAAACAAUACUUCUUACUUGUAAAGAUAAACAAGAAGAUUAGAAGAAGAAGUUGAAGAGCUUUUGAAGCUUUGGAAAGCUAGGACACUUGAGCACUUGAAAGCUUGGAAGCUUGGAGGCAAAAACGUGUGGGCAAGUGUGGAGUGAAAGCUCUUGAGUUUGCUUGUAGUGUGGUGAGUGAAAAUGAGGGGAUUACCCUUCUAUUUAUAGCCUUGGCCACUCAAUGUCCACCCUUGGAUCUUCAAUGGAUGGCUCCUUGAUUUCUCACAUAAAUCCAAGCUUUGUCUUUGAUCUUAUCUUGAAUAGUGUUUUUCUUGGAUAGAGUUUGUUGGAGAAUCUAAUCUUUGUAUAAAUUCAAACUUGAAUAGUGUUUUGUCCCCUUGGAAUAUUAUACCUUGAAUAAAGUGUCAAAAGAUAAUAAUAAUAAUAUUCAAGGUAAAAAUGCAAUUAUUCCAAAUAAUAAUAUUCAAGGUGAAAAUGCAAUUAUUCCAAAUAAUAAUAUUCAAGGUGAAAAUGCAAUUCUCUCAAUUUGACUUUUAACUUUGACUUAAACCCUUAACUCAAAUGAUUAAUUAAUUAACUGGAGUUAGGUUUAAUAUCGAUUGACUUAUUUAACCCUAUUGAUUAAUAGUGUAAUUAGGGUUUAAAUUGACAUGAUUAAAAUAUAAUCCUAUGUCGACAAUUUUGAUUCUACAGUACGGUCCUAUCGGCCUUGGGGUAUGUGAAUUUUUUUUUUUUCAAAAUUUUUUAUUUCCCGCCCACGUUCUUCUAUAAAUUCGUUUCACUCUCAUUUUCACUUCUUACCUUCACUUAUUCACUUACCAGAGCUAGGGUUUUUCUUCCGCCGACUCUUGCGUUUUCUCCUAUGGCUGAUCUUCACUCCUUCGUGGAUGGCAUGCAGUUUGACGGUAACUCUAUAACCCCUUCUGAAAAUCCUCCCUCUGUUCUUAGUCGGCCGCAGGCCCGUCAUCACUUUCACGGGAUCGCCCCUGGUGUACCAAUAGCUCACCUUAGGGUCCCUGAUGAUGACCCUGCCUCUUCGCCUCCUCCUGGUUAUACCGCUCUUUACUCAGAUUUCGAGGACCUAGGGCUCCGGCUUCCCGCCUCCCCCUUUCUCUUGUCUUUUCUUUCGUAUACUGGUGUUGCUAUCUCCCAGCUUUCUCCUUUUAGUCUUGAUCGAGUUGUUUCGUUCGAGCGAUUGUGCCUUGAGCUGCACAUUGAGCCCUACGAACGAGUAUUCCGACUGUUUUUCUCUGUCUCCCGACCCAAUGCCGCACGGCUUUUGGUUUCUUCUCGAAUACGGUGCAAGAUUUUGGAUCCCUACCCCGAUCGUUCACAUAGGUGGAAAAAUCGUUACUUCUUUGUGAAGGCCAAUGUGGUGGGGUUGUCGGGCGUCCCUUCCGGAUGGAUAAAUACUUCAUCUUUUGACGCUCGGCCACUUUCCGUAGGAGAACUUUCUCCGGAGGAACGUGAGGCGUAUACUUGUCUCUUAUCUGUCCGUGCGAGUCCCAUUGAUUAUACUAGUCUAAUGACUGGGAACUGGAAACUUACUCCUCCGCAUCUCGUUCCCUCUGGUAAACUAUUUUUCGACUUCGUUGAUUUUUUCAUUUUUCUUUCAGGCGACUUUGAUGAAGGAGGUUUGUCGCGCUUGUUUGCAGGAACUGGUACGCACGGGAAAAGCAGCAAGAGGGCCCGUACGGAAGUUGAUCCCGAGGUUGGUGAAUCUUCGCACGGUGCUUCCGGAGGAGAUAUGGGGAUUCUGAAUGAAGAUGUAAUGAAGUAUAUCAACUUUUCGGACGCCGAUGUUACUACUAGCGGGCACAAUCCUGGGGACCGUCUGAUUGUGACCGAACAUAUGCAAGCUCCUCGGAUUGCAGGGAUUUACGAGCGGGCACUUGGUCGACUGGAUCCCUUGAUUGAAAAGGAAGAAGAUUGGGGGAUUCUUGAGAAAAAAGACUCCGACGAUAUUGACGACGCUUGCUAUAUUCGUGCCCUUCAGGUUGUGGCUAUCGAACGUUACCGGUAGAAAAGAGGUGCCCGGCGGACCCGCGAACUUAAUGAUGCUUUGGAUGAAGUUACUCGCCUGACCAAUGAACUUUCCCUAAGGGACACUGAGAUCGAAUCUCUUAAGAAGGAGAGGGACGAUGGAGCCGCCCAGAUUGUAUCAAUACAAAAGGAUGUCGAAAGUGCGAAGCUGAAUUUUGCCGAACGUGCCAAGUCUAUUACCGAUCGGAACAAGCGCGCUUGUUUUAAGAAUUUUGUUGAAGGUAUGGUUCACGAGCGGGACAUGGUGAACCUUCGGAGUCCCGAGUAUGAAUCAGUUGUUGUACCUGUGAAUCCUCACAUGUGGGGGAAAUGACAGGCGCAUGGGAUCUCUGAAGAACACCCCCCUUGGCCGAAGACACUUCAGGAUCUUACGGGUGAUGCAGAUGAUAAAUAGAUGUUAAGUUUUUUGUAACGUACUUUUUAUUUUGGACUUUGUUCCCAUGCUUUGUACUUGACUAUUUCCCGUUAUUUUUGCUUUUGCUUGCUUUAUGACUUAUCUGUUCGUCCUUGCUUGUGCUUCAUUUACCCUACGACUUUCCUUCUGAUGCAUUAUUGCUUGUUUCCUUGUCCCUUUUUUCCUACGGCCUUUUGUGUCGCAUAAUUGCUUACGCUUCCGAUGUCUGAUGGGUGGAUUACCUUUGACCGACACGAUUGCCCUACGGCCUUGCUUUUGGUCUUUCGACCUUAUUGCCCUACGGCAUUUUUAUUUUGGCGGGUGGACUCAUUUGAUCUUUCAAUCUAAUUGCCCUACAACAUUUUUUCUUUUUGGUGGAUGGCCUUGCGUGGUCUUUUGACCUUAUUGCCCUAAGGCUUUUUUAUUUUGGCGGGUGGCCUCACUUGGUCUUUUGACCUAAUGCUCUACGACAUUUUUUACUUUGACGGGUGGUCUCAUUUGGUCUUUUGACCUUAUUGCCCUACGACAUUUUGUGACGGGUGGCCUUGCUUUAAAAAAGAUUUUUGUAUUUAAAUAAAAUUGCCCUAAGGCUUUUUGUUCGUUAUGUACAAUAUUUGAUUAUUGAAAAUACCUUGAUAGAUUGUCCGAGUGCCAAGUUCUUUCUAUUUCUUGGUCAUCCUCGAACGCUAACUUGUAGAUUCCCGGACGGACUUCUUCGAUAACUACAUAAGGCCCUUCCCAUUUUGGGGAUAACUUCCCUUUAGUUUGGUCUAUCCCUGUGAUUCUCCCGUUCCUUAGCACAAAGUCCCCUAGACUUAUCUUGUUGCUGCGGCUUCUCUCAACUCUUCGCAUCUUUCUCUGGCCAGUAAGAUAGCUAAGUUGUUAUCAUCUGGAUUGAAUUUCGCAACUCUUGCUGUUGGCCAUACUAAUUCCGCUGGGGCAACUGCAUCUAUCCCAAAGGUCAGGGUGAAUGGUGGAUGUCCCGUCGGGGUCCUUACGGUUGUUUUGUACGCCCACAUUGUUUCCGGUAUUAAAUCUGCCCAUGUUCCUGGGUUGUCCCCUACUUUUCUUUUAAGUAUAGAUGUUAUUGUUCGGUUCGUAACUUCGACCUGCCCGUUCGCUUGUUGAUGAUAUACUGGAGCGAAGCUUAACUUUAUCCCACUAUCCUUGCAAAACUUCUUUACUUUUUCCUCAGUGAACUGUGUCCCAUUAUCUAUUAUUAUUUGUAACAGGACACCAAAUCUACAGAUGAUAUUUCUAAAGAUGAAUUGAAUAACGUUUUGCUCCGAUAUUGUAUUUGUUGGCUCUGCUUCUGCCCAUUUAGUGAAAUAAUCGACCGCAACAAAUAGAAACUUUCGACCCCUCGAUGCUACCGGAAAGGGUCCUACAAUAUCCAUUCCCCAUCAGGCAAAUGGUGCUGGUGUUGUAAUUGGGUUCAUUAUGCUGGAUGGCUUUCUUUGAAUGUUCGCAUGUCUUUGGCAUUUAUUGCAGCUUCUUACCAAAUCCUCAGAGUCCCUAUCUAUUUGUGGCCAAUAGUACCCCUGUCUUGCUACUUGUUUUCCUAAUAUUUUGGCCCCCUGGUGUGGACCACAUGUUCCACUGUGUGCACUUGUUAAUAUCUCUUUUCCUUUUUCGCGUGUUACACAAAUCCGUAAGGGAAUGCUGUCCUCCACCGCCCUACGGAAAAGCUCGUCCCCUACAACCAUGAACCAGACUGCUUUAUUUUUUAACUUUCUUUCUUCCAUCGGAUCCGUUGGAACUAUUCCUUUUGUGAUGUAGUUUUUGAUCAGUGUUCUCCAGUCUAUUUCCUGCGUCAGUGAUAAAACUCUAUUUUUCACUGUUUCAACUAUGGAUGGUGCCUCUUGUUGUUCUAUUCGGACCCAUCGUUCCUUUGGGUUACUUGGUGAUGCUCCUAACCUUGCCAGAACGUCCGCCUCAUUAUUGUCUGUCCGGCUUGUGUGAUGAAGUUCUCAUUCCGUAAAAUACUGCAUUAUGUUUCGUGCCGCCUCCGUAUAUAGACUCAUUCUUUCCUCCUUAGAUACGAAUUCCACAUUAACUUGGUUUUCUACUAAGCGUGAGUCCGUAUGGAACUUUGCCCGUCUGGCUCCCAAGCUUUCUCUAGCCGUGCGCCUGCUAACAGUGCUUCAUACUCUGCCUCGUUGUUUGUUGCUCUGAAUCCAAAAUUUAUCGCGUGUUCUACCUUCUCUUUUGUUGGGGUUUGGAUCACGAUUCCUGCUCCACAACCCGAAUUACCUUCCGACCCAUCGACGUAAAUGGUCCACCAUUCUUCUGAAUUUUCUGCGUUUGAUGGUGUAAAUUCUACCAAAAAGUCGACAACCGCUUGUCCCUUGAUUGCUUUUGCUGGUAUGAUACUUAUAUAAAAUUCACUUAAUUCGACAACCCAUUUUGUUAACCUUCCUGAUACGUCCGGUUUAUGCAACAACUGUAACAACGGGAAUUCCGUAGGGACAGUGAUCAGAUGUGCCUGAAAAUAAGGUUUUAGUCGUCUUGCUGCUGUUACCACUGUCAAUCCCAACUUUUCAAUUUGCGGGUAUCUUUUUUCUGCCCCUUGAAGGGCGCGGGAGUAAUAAUAAAUGGGCUUUUGUGUGCCCCCUCUUUCAGAUACUAGAACUGCACUGAUAGCAUUGUCGGACGCUGCUAUAUAUAACUUCAAUGGUUCCCCCGGCAAGGGGGGCUACAAGGUUGACAAAUUUUUCAACUGCUUCUUUAGGCGUUCGAACGCUUCUUCGCACUCUGCCGUCCAUGCUACUUUUGGACUGGACGACUUUAUUAACUUAAACAGAGGUUGCAGUGUAUCUGCCCCUCGGGCCAAGAAUCUACUAAGUGCAUUUACCUUUCCAUUGAGCUUCUGGACUUCUUUUAUUGUUCUUGAUGGGGUCAUUGAAAUUAUAGGCUCGAUUUUUUCCGUACGGGCCUUAAUCCCGUUGGGUGUUACUCUGAAACCCAAGAGUGCCCCUCCGUGACUCCAAAAGAGCACUUCUUUGCCUUUAACCGUAAGCCCACCUUCCUGAUGCUAUUGAAAGUCUCCUCCAGAUCUUUUAGGUGUUCUGUGGCUGCCUUGGAACAGACUAGGAUGUCAUCUACGUAUACUUCAAGAUUCCUUCCGAUCUGGUAUUUGAAUAUCUGGUCCAUAGCCCUUUGGAAUGUUGCUCCUGCAUUACGUAGCCCGAAAGACAUUACUUUGAAACAAAAGGUACCUAUUUCUGAUAUAAAAGAGGUUUUUUCUUCAUCUUCUCGAGCCAUGGGAAUUUGGUUGUAACCCGAGUGUGCAUCCAUGAAACUGAGCAAUUCACAACCUGACGCUCGGUCAACCAGGUGAUCUACCGAUGGAAGAGGAUAUGAAUCCUUAGAGCAUGCUUUGUUUACAUUUGUGAAAUCUAUGCACAUUCUCCAUCCCCCAUCUGCUUUCUUUACCAUUACUACGUUCGACAACCAUUCCGGGUAUUUCACUGGUCGAAUGAAAUUUGCUUCAAGAAGUUUUCGUACCUCUUCGGCUGCCGCUUCCUUCCUGUCCCUCCGUAAUGGCCUCAUCUUCUAUCUUACAGGACGUAUAUGUCUCCCUACGGCCAACCCGUGUUCCGCAAGGUUCCGUACGACCCCUUUAAGUUCUCCUACAUCUUUAGCAAAUAGAUCUUCAUUCUUUCUGAGUAAUUUUAUAAUAUCAUUUUUUGUUUCCUGCAGGAGUUCGGCUCCUAUCUGUACAAUGCGCUCCCUAAUUCUACUGAAACUGUGGCCGAAGCAGGUUCGGGUUUUGGGCGUUCCUCCCUUAUUGUAUGUGGGGGCCCAUCUUUCUCACCUGCUGCAGCCAUUACCUGCCCUGUCGAAUUUAUGUAACAUUCCCUUGCUUUUUUCUGUGAUCCUUUAACUGUGCAUAUUCCUGCUUCUGAUGAGAAUUUUAAACAUUGGUGUAAGGAUGAUGUUACCGCCUCGAACGCGUGUAGGGCUAUCCUGCCUAAUAUUGCGUUGUACCCAGAUGAAAAUGGUACUACUGAAAAUCUCACUCUUACUGUUGUCUCUUGCGCAAAUUUUCCUAAUGUUACCGGGAUAUCUAUUGUUCCUAGUACUUGGACUUCUCCCUGGUCAAAACCUGUCACUGGUGUGCUGCAUAGACCCAGAUCAGCCCUGCAAAAUCCAAGUUGAUCGAAUGCAUUCCAAUAUAACACAUCUACUGAAGCCCCCUGUGUCCACCAGUACUCGGUUUAAUCUGAUUCUUUGCUUAUCCUCCCUCUGUACAAUAGGUGUGAUGACUAACGGGUCGUGAUAUGGGACUGUGAUUCCCGUCAGAUCUUCAUCUGAGAAACGAAUGUCUGCUAAUGUUUUGAUUUUUUUAACUCCAUCCGUCCGACUAAGGUCCUCUGCAUACCUUUUACCUUCAAAUCCUACUCCUCCCCUGGCCGCUUCGCCUCCUGAUAUUGCGAGUAUUUCACCUAUGUUUCUUCCUUCCCGAUCGUCCCUAGGGCCUUGAUGUCCUGUGGGGACCAAUGCCGUACGCCGAGGCGGGGGAGAAGGUAUUCUUUGCUGUGCGGGCGGUGGGCCUUGUGCUUCCUGCUUUUUUUCGAGUUCUCUUGCCAGAAUCCAACAUUCAGCCGUAGUAUGUCCUAUAUCUUCAUGAUAUUCACAGUAUCGGUGUGGGUUUCGGUGUACUGCCGUUUCCGUGCGCAUUGGGCGAGGUUCCGGAAGUACCCGUUCAUCUCUUAGUGCUAGAAAUACCUGUCGUUGGUUCGGAAGCGAGGUGACUCUUGGUGGACCGUAGUUUGGAGCGCCUUCCCUUGGAAAAGUGCCCCCUCGCGCCGUAUUCUCUGAUGCCUCUCUACUUUACGGUCUUGUCUCUAACCUUGGUUGCUUUUGCUGCAUGUUCUGGUCGUAUUGGCCUUUCGGCCUUUGACGUAUUAGCCUAUAUUUUGCCUCAUGGUAGUCUUCUACAUUUGACUCUUUAUACGAUCUCUCCAUAACUUCUGCAAAAGUGGAUGGAAGGUCUCGUACUAGAUCCCUAGAAAAUCUAGUCGGCCUUAAUCCAUUAACUAGUGCCAUCAGGACUCCUUCUUCUGAACAAACGACUUUUUGAACCGCCACUGCAAACCGGUCCAUAUAUUCCCGCGUCGAUUCUCGAUCUCUAUGUACAACUGUUAAUAGACUUGUAUUCAGCCCCUUUCGCCUUAUUUUAUGCCCGAAGGCAAUUUUGAACGUCCUCUCCAAAUCAUUGAACGAAUUAAUGCUUCCUUCAGAAAGGUUUCUGUACCACCCAACAGCCUCGCCUUUUAAUGAUCUUCUAAACGUACGACACCAAAUGUCCUUUCGCCAUGUAGUAUCCUCCAUUUCCGUAUGGAAUGAAUGGAUGUCGUCCUCUGGGUCUGUUGUACCAUCGUACAUUGUCAUUUUUGGGGCCCUCCACCCCAUCGGGUAAUCUUCUACCAGAAGAUGUCGUGAUAGGGCCUCUUCACUGCCCGUCGACAUGGGCUGGUCCAGAUAGUCAAUUGAUGGCUGUACGGGUGCCAUGUCGCUUCCUUGUGCAUUUCUGUUUGUUAAUGAUAGAAUUCGCUCCUAAAGCUGCCUUUGAUUGUUCUGCAACUCCGUGAUAAUUACAAGGAGUCGAUCUUCCCUCACACCUUGUGACUCGGAUAAUGCUCUCCUAUAUCCACUUUGAUCGUUCAUGUGCUGCUCUGGUGAUCUUGAUCGGCUUUGUCCCGACCAACUAAUAGAAAUAUUAUCCCCUGGAACUGGCCUGGUAACCAGCCGAGGGUUUUCCCAUGUGUUGUGGUUGAGGAUGAUAAGGUGCCUCUUCAAUGUUUUCCUCCAAACGCACCGGUCCAUCUACGACGUGAUUUUCCAUAGGAAUUGGUAGUUGUUGAUCUUCGCAUGCUUCCACCGCUGUGAUUCCUACGUUUUCCUCCAUCUGAAUUAUUCGCUCCGGUUGCUCUGAAUCCGUUCACGUCAGGUUCACCACUGAUCGUGUGGUAUAAGAUAUAUACUGACCGUAUAGUUUAGUAUAAGGUAUUACAAACAACAAUUGUUUCUCCCCCCUCUAUAUUUCACCCCUAGGGGUAUUUAUACAGUUUCCUACCGGUUCCCGGACCUUGAAUUCUCGGACUAAGAUCUGACCCGACAAGGUUGGGAUGCAACCAUUGGGGAAAUAACCGUCCGGGUUAAGACCCGUCGGGCGCCCUGGGUCUUCCUCUUGUUUACUGGACCUCGAUUCUGGAUUCUCGCAUUGACCUGGGUUGAUGGACUAAGGGUACCAUCACUUACAUCUAAAUCUAAUGGUGAUUUAUAUAGUUUAUUAUUUAAAUCAUUUAGGAGUGAAAAUCUCCAUGUAGACAUUUCAACGGUCUGAUUUUCAUUAGAAUCGUUAUCCUUAUAUAUAACAAGAACUACAAUUUAUAAGCUCAUUUAUUCAUUUUAUUUUUUUAAAUUAAGACCUUGGUAUUUUAAUAAUAUUAUACAUAUAUACACCAUCCUCAUCUUAACAACCUCCACCUCCACCACCUCCGCCACCGCCACCGCCACCGCCGCCACCAUCUCCGCCACCGCCGCCGCCGCCACCAUCUACGCCACCGCUAAAGCCUCCACCACCGAAAAAGCCUCCACCACCGCCACCAUGAUGACCACCACUAAAGCCUCCACCACCGCCACCAUGAUGACAACCACUGAUGAUGGCACCAACCACUAUGAAGACCGCCACUAUGAUGACCGGCACUAAAAUCUCCACAUCCAUGAUUACCACCACUAAAGCCUCCACUACCGCAACGAAAAAAGCAAGUACGGUUCCAAAUAGAAAUAUAUUAUUGUUGGAUUCAUGGCAAUGAUUCCUUAUUUAUACACAGUGGCAAUUGUCAAAAUAUAUCAAAGUCAAAAUUGGCGGGAAAGAUGCAUAGGGCACGACACGGUAUUAAAAUUAAUUAAAAUAAAUUUCAAUUUGAAAAAAAACGAAACUCGGAUGAAUUAAGAUUAAAAAAACUCAGAAAACUCUAAAUUUCCUUCCAAAAUUCAAACCGACCAAAAAAGUAUUUUGACUUUGUUUAAUAAUUGAAAUAUUUAAAGAAAAAGUGGGAAAGAAUCAUAAGUUGCUGUGAAGCAACCU
rnacentral:lncRNA from 1 species